UACGUAGGGUGCAAGCGUUGUCCGGAAUUAUUGGGCGUAAAGAGCUCGUAGGCGGUCUGUCGCGUCUGCUGUGAAAACUCAGGGCUUAACCCUGAGCUUGCAGUGGGUACGGGCAGACUAGAGUGCGGUAGGGGAGACUGGAAUUCCUGGUGUAGCGGUGAAAUGCGCAGAUAUCAGGAGGAACACCGGUGGCGAAGGCAGCACUCUGGGACGGUACUGACGCUGAGACGCGAAAGCGUGGGGAGCAAACAGG
rnacentral:rRNA from 1 species